rnacentral:rRNA from 1 species
AUUGAACGCUGGCGGCAGGCCUAACACAUGCAAGUCGAACGAGUGGCGGACGGGUGAGUAAUGUCUGGGAAACUGCCUGAUGGAGGGGGAUAACUACUGGAAACGGUAGCUAAUACCGCAUACCAUCAGAUGUGCCCAGAUGGGAUUAGCUUGUUGGUGGGGUAACGGUGCACCAAGGCGACGAUCCCUAGCUGGUCGGAGAGGAUGACCGGCCGCACGGGAAGUGAGACACGGUCCAGAGUCCUACGUGAGGCAGCAGUGGGGAAUAUUGCACAAUGGUCGCAAGCCGGAUGCAGCGAUGCGGCGUGUAUGAAGAAGGCCUUCGGGUUGUAAAGUACUUUCAGCGGGGAGGCGUUACCCGCAGAAGAAGCACCGGCUAACUCCGUGCCAGCAGCCGCGGUAAUUC